CACGGGUGAGUAACGCGUGGGAAUUUGCCUUUUGGUACGGGAUAACGUCUGGAAACGGACGCUAAUACCGUAUGUGAUCUACGGAUUAAAGAUUUAUCGCCAGAAGAGAAGCCCGCGUAGGAUUAGGUAGUUGGUGUGGUAAUGGCGCACCAAGCCGACGAUCUUUAGCUGGUCUGAGAGGACGAUCAGCCACACUGGAACUGAG
rnacentral:rRNA from 1 species